rnacentral:lncRNA from 1 species
UGUCAAUUUUUGGGCUUGUGGAGUUAUUGGUUUCAGCUUAAAGCUUUUAUUUUUGUCUUGCAUUUGAUGAAACCCCUUGCCCUACUUCCGUCUAUCUUGGUUGAAUAGAAGUCGAGAUAUUUCUGAUGGAAAAAGGUGGGGGUCACCUAGUUUCAGAGUUAAAAUUAUCGAGAAAAUGACCACCAAAGUUUUGAUAACUUCUAUUGCUUGAAAGUUCUUUGGAAAUGAAAUAAUUUUUGUGCCUUUAAUCAAUGUUUUUCAGUAAACCCACAAAGAAAUAUGUUUUUGAAUAAACUUAAAAGGUUUUAAGCCAAAAAACACCAACAAUUUUUAAUGGCCAAACCAGCAGAAAUAGGCCAUUUCUUCGAUUUCAUUAUUUUGACGAAGGCUUGAUUUCACCACGUUGCCUCACAUAUAUAGCUGGGAAUUUUGACUUGCGAUGGUGAUCAUAUAUAUUCGCUUUUAUAAAAUGCCGGAGCAUGAUUGUGUAAUUAUGGACAUUUGUAAACCUGAUUGAGAAAUGCCUCAUUGCUGUGCCCUUUUGAGCUGGGAGGGACUGGUCUUGCACGUUCCCUCCUCAGUCAUCGCCCUUCGUGGUGCUUGCAGCACUUGAUGUUGCUUGACUGGUCCUGUUUGUUGCACUGAUUGGGCACGCCCACUUUUGUUGGUUCACUGGGAAAAAGAAAUCAUAAGGGUAGGAGCUUUCAGUAUUGGCUUAGAUGGAGCUUAAAAUUUGUGUGCCACUUUUCAUAAGAUUUCCAGAAUCUUUGAGUCUGUGUUUUUAACUCUUAUGAGAGGUUUCUUCUAACCUGUGGUCCAAUGACCUUAGAGUAAGUUGGAAGAUUUGCUCUUUACUGGAGAUUCUGACAGACGACCAAAUGCUCUGCCUUCCAUGAUUGGUUUUGUGUCUUGUAGAGGACAUAUGUAGUAAAUUAAAGAAGUCCAAACAAUUUUCCAUGUCUUAUAGAACUGACAGCCCGAUCUUGGUGACUUUGGACCCGCCAAGAACCUAGAGUUAAGUCGGAUUUGACAUGUUUUUUGUGUGGGUUUUUUUUGCCUUUCAAAAGACGCAGAUUAGUUUAAGUGAGGCAAGGAAGCAUUACGUCACCAGACCUCUCUAACAUAUACAGUGAAACAAUCAUUAAACUGGACAAAUGUCCAGGCUGCAGAAAACCCGAUUUUUGAAUAACUACUGUGGGGCCGUACAUAGGAUUGACUGUAAAGGACACAGAAGAUCCACACUGGUUUUGAUGUAUGCUUUGCAAGUAUUGAUCAUUUUUUGCCCUGGCCAUAUAUAACAGUAUACAUUUAUAUAUAUGUAAAUUCAUUAUAGGCGCGUUUGUUUCCCGAGUUUUAAAAUGUUUUUUUUUUCUUUUUUGGUGGCAAAAGUCGGUUUUCUACAUGAUUGUAAUCUGCUGGAGUCUUGUGUAGCUCCUAUUUUAAAACAUGUUGUUUAGAGUUUGGUUCAAAAUUGUGAGAAAUUCUUUUACUUUUGGAUCAAGGGAAAGUCAGGUCUGUGAGUUGAGUAAGACAGGCCGGUAUUGGAAAAGUCUACAGUAGCAAAAGGGUAAUGUUACCUCUAAAAGAUACGCUCCUCAAGGAGUGGCCGCCCCUGGUGUGGGUCUCAUCGCAGGGGGCGAGUGGUAAAGCAGUUUGUGUGAUUGGAGAAAAAAAUGUAAGUCUUAGGAUGAGUAUGUAAAUUGAUGUCUUGAUUUAUGCCUCGUGGACGGGUUCUCGACGUCCUUCUGUUGCUGGAUUGUGUGAGCAUCAGUUGUCCGAGGUUUUCCUGUGGUCACUUUGUUAAGGAUUAGUUCAUGGGAAAAUUUCGUCCUUGUUUUGUCUUAUGAUUCAGACAACAAGUUACAGCUUUUUUUUGCGUGUGUGAACAUUCAUCGGUGUAUGCAAUUUAGAAGUACCAUCUUUUUACUAUAAGAGGCUGUUACUGUUGCAAGCCUCAAUGUUAUGUUUUAAUUUGCUGUAUCCUUUUUUAUUCCAGAUUGAUUUUCUUUCAAAAUACAAAAAUAUCCUGGAACUGUGUUUCAACUAAAGUGUGUUUGUGUUGUUGAGAAAACAUUAAUUUGAGUUGUGUAAUUUGUGCAGUUUUUGACCUUGCGCCCACUCAAGUCAAAGGUCAAAGGAAGAGUGUCGAGUAUUUUGGCACCAAACCUGCGUGGGGUGGACGGGGAAUGAACCAUUAGAUUCGAUCUUUAUGUCAACUUUUUCCUGAACCGCUGUACUUAGACGUAAGCUUCUCAUAGUGGAGACAUGUUAGUGGGAAGUUGUUUGGAAGAACAACUUUGUUUUUGCUGCACUACAAUUUUCUGCUUGUUAUUUACAACCUCCCAGCCCCACCUCUGAUUGUUAUAAACUGCUGUGAUGUCCAUUAGAUUUUUGCAUUUGUUCUGCCAAAUCAUUUUGUCGUAGUGUACAGCUUCUGUGGUUUUUAUGUUUUUGUUUCUAACAGGCUUUACGCGGAUAUUAACUAGCUGUAUAUAUAUAUUGUGCUGCAAAAGACUUGAAUCGCUUGUUUCUGUCCAGAGGAACUUAAUUCUGUAUGUUUGUCGGGUCUGCCAUCCUGUAGUCAUUAGUAUUUUGUAUUAAAUACUUUUUUGUACAUAGCUAGGUCUAUGUGCUGUAGACAAUGUAUCUGCAACUUCUGUUAUAAUAGAACAGUUAAUUCUAGCGUUGCUGUUGCUUGGUUGUAUUAGUUUAUAUAUGCGAUGGCCUAUGUAGUUGUAUGGAAGUCAAAGUGAGUCAAAGUAUGUUUGUAUGUUGUUUGUUUGUUGAAAUUCACUCUGACCAGAAAUUUCAUGAGAAUGUGAAGGUGAAAUCAGAGAUUUGGAUACAACUUUUAUGAUCAGACCUCAGGUUUUUUUGUUGAAAGUGAAAACAGAAAAAAAAUUCUUUGAUUUUUUUUUUUUGGGUGGACUCAAAUUUUUGCUUUCACUAUAAUUGUUUGAGCAUGUUGGUCAUUUUGCUUUUUUUUCUUAUAGUUAAAAGUCGUUUGCUUCUUUCUGGUUGUUUGGGUUUUCUGUUUGUGUUUUCUGAUGCUUUCAUUUGACAAUGAUUGGCUGGGUUUCUUUUCUUAUUUUCUUUCACCUUCCUCUUUCAUUCAGUUCUUUGAUAGAGUCAGGUGUUUUUCUGUUGAAAGGUGAAGUGUGUGACUGAGUGUGUGGCUGAUUGUGACCUUUGUGGUGAGCCUGCUAUCAGAGACGUCUCAUGGAGAAUGGGAUCGAAUGAUUCUUGCAUAAUAAUAAUUAUGAUGUUACGGUUUUCAAGGGUUGUAGAUUUACAUACUCUGCAUGUGUUUGUAAGUCUGUUGUUGGUGUGCAUCUUCCCAUAUUGUAUGCUUUGUACGUGGGACAGUUACGUGUGCUGUUGAAGUAGGGGUCUGGUUUUGCUGUGUGAUCAAUAAUGACCAGUAGAAAAGGGGAAAAUAGUGAAAAAAACCAACCUUAAAAGUAUGUCUAUUUAACUCUAUGUGAAAUGAUUACAAUUUUGCAAUUUUAUAUUGUUUCAAAACUGUAGAAUUCUACCUGUUUAGAACUUUGAGAGAUUUUGGAUCAGCGCAUUAUGUGCAAGCUGGCAUGGUGACAUUUGGUGAGCUUUUUACCUGCAAUUUUGUUCAAUAUUCCUCCAAGAUCCCCCAACCUACACUUUAACCGGUCGUGUCUUCUUCAAAUGUCCACAUUGUCAUGAUGGGAUGGUCUGAGGCUCCGCUGGUAACAUGCAACAGGAAAAAUGUGUGACCAUGAGCAAAUAUAGUCAUUUGAAAUGUUGGAGAAAAAAAAAUGACCCCUGAUUCGAAUUGCUAAGGGAAUAUUUUUUAGUUUGGAUUGUGUGUCAGGGAGUUUUCAUUGGAGUCACUGCCUCUUGAAUAACUCUUCAAUCACCAGUGCCGUUCUAGCGUAGUAAAAGUGACAAGUUGUGUGUCUCAUCUGUUUGAAAGUCCCAUCCGCUCAGAGCCAGUUUGUUGAGGAUUUUGUUGUGUGUGCAUCCUCUGAGUAGGCGAGGAAAGAUUGCUUCGGUUCAUGUGUGAUAGCUGCUUGACUGGCAUUUUCAUGAGAUUUGAGGAUUUUGCUACUUUACACAUGUUCCUUUAGUCAUAAUCUGCUUCUGUCAUCACUCCUCCUAUGUUGAAAGUGAUUUAGUCCAUAACCAAAAUUUCAUGUGAAUAAUCUUCAGUCAGGUGGAACAGAUAAUGUAGGAGAGGAUCAUAGAGCAUUUUGCAGAGUUUGCUGACUCAUUCAGUAUUGUUGAAAGUGAAAGGGAUUGAUUGGAGCUGAGAAAUGUUGACCAAUAUACCAAUCUGGUAUAACCAAUAUACCAAUCUGGUAUAACCAAUAUACCAAUCUGGUAUAACCAAUAUACCAAUCCGGUAUAUAUGUUGGUAAGAUUGUGUGGUAUGCCAAGCUAUCUAGAGUAGACACAAGCCGUUUGUUGUCAUUCGUAGUCAGUUUUGUGACUGAAUUCUGAUAUUUUGAUUGUGCUAACGCUACUGUGCAGACUUCACUCAGUUCUUCUGUGUCUAAUGGGCUGGACAGAAAGCUAUGUAGUUAUUCAUCAACCGAGCCAAUGUUCAUGUAUAACUAAAGGAUAAUUGUAAGACAUGUGCUCAAUGAAGAAGCUUGGUUGACUUUAGUUGCGACUUGUAUGGCCGUCAUGAAUAAAGGAGAGGUUUAUGUAACGGACCAGUUUCAAAGUGAUGAUAUAAUCUCCCUUUGUAAAGCUGAUUUUUUAAAAUUCUACAAUUGUUAGUUCGAGUUACUUUGAAAUAAGAAAUUAAUUAAUCAAGUUUAUGUCAUGUAUUGUUUGCUGCGAAGGUUGCUUGUUUUUUGUUGGAAAUGUUGAUCAAGAAAAUGUGCCAUUUUGCAAGUUGAGUUGUUUUGUGCUGUGGUUACUUUGCUCAGUCUUUCUUUUACCUCCCUUGAUUCCGUUACGAUGGAAUUCCUUAGAUAUAGAAGCUAGAUACGUGGGCGAGCCAAAAUGAAGAUAAUCUUCACACGAGUCAGGAAAUUUGGAAAUAUUUCUAGGAACUUUAGAGUGCUUCCAUUCGAGAGACGCAAUCAUUGCAGUAUUUUUUUAAAUUUGUAAAAUGAGAAAUUUUUCAUUUGGCAGCCUUAGUUAUUAUAUGUUUUCCAGUAAUAAGGUUUUGUGACUUUGUAGUGGGUAUGUGAGAUUGCUUUGAAAUGCCAAACAAAUUGUAGCAAGUGUGUAUACUUUGAUGUGUCUGUUCAUGUGAGUCUGUCUGUAGGUUGUAAUUGGUAAAGCAGUGACUGUCUUCUUUUCUCACAAUAUCCAUUCAAUGGAAAGUUUUGCCAGUGUUUUGCAGAGCUUUCUUAAACGCAGGAAUGCCCCCAGUGUGUUUUUUUAACAGUACACAUUGGAGAUAUAUUUUCACCAGUUGGUCCUUCAACGAAGGCUUGGAGUUUGAACAUUGUCUUUAUAAACACUGAGGUUUAUUUGAACAUUGUCUUUAUAAACACUGAGGUUUAUUUGAACAUUGUCUUUAUAAACACUGAGGUUUAUUUGAACAUUGUCUUUAUAAACACUGAGGUUUAUAUCAUAUGCACUGUUUGCAGUGAAAGAAUGACUGUGCAUUGCAUGCUUUUGAAGGUGAACCUUUUGCCAUUAUCUGUUUAUUAUAGUAUCUAUACAUUUCUUGAACAUUUUCUGUUACUGUGGGUUGUUGUUUGUUUGGAGCAUUGGAAAUUAAGUGUUUCUUUGUGUGUGUACGUUUGUGUGUGUGUGUGGGAGUGACGGUGUGAAAUAAAGAGAGAAAGACCAUGAGAGAGAGAGAACAUGUGUGUGUGUGUGUAUGUAAAAUGAAGUGAAAGUGUGUGUGAAUGUAUGUGUAUGUGUGUGAGCGCGCGGGCAUGUGAAUGUGUUUGAGUGCAUGUGUAUGGAGAGAGAGAGAGAGAUUUAUGCUUCAUUGUUUUCACUUUGGCUUGUCAUCAGCGUGGCUGUGUGAUCAGUAAGUGUCGUUUAGUUAAUCUUCAACUCAGCAAUGAUGCAUGCUGGGAACGUGUGUAAUUUUUAGAUAAAUCGUGAUGUGAGUGACCUUUUUGCAGAGCUUUGUAAGUUCAUCCACAAGGUCCCCCCUCCUCCGUGAAAAUACCGCCUGUGACUAGCAUUACUUCCCUUUCAACUACAGCAGGAGAGUAAUUUUUGCCGUCUGUCCUUUGAGAUGAGUAUGAUAUUGAAUUUUUAUCAAGUCGACCAAAGUGGAAAUAAAUGUAGAGACUCCUUUAAUAACAGUUUUUGUAUUAAUUUAUAGAGGUCUCAGUACGUUUUUCUCAGCUGCUGAUGAGAUGUCUUAUUUACCUUUCUUUUUCCUUUUUGUUGUAAGCUUUGUUUUUUUCUACUAUGAUAAUAUAGUUUUGGAAGAGGCUCUUGAUUAUUUGUCUUUUUUUUUAAGAGACUUGAUUAUUUGUCUUUUUUUGGAAGAGACUCUUUAUUAUUAGUCUUAGAUCAAAAUGAUUGAUUGCUUUGGUGUUUUAUGACUCUGGAUUUUUUGGUGUUGAUGUUUUGUGUUUUGCAUGUGUGCCUCUUUGUCCGUGUCCCGAGGGUGUGUAUUCACAGUUCUAGCAUAGCAGCAUUGCUGAAAUGUUGAAGAGCACAACAUGAUGUAGUCCUACCCUGAGUGCAGAAUCUGUGAGAACAACGGUGGUGUCAUCAUUUUUCUGUUUGUGCGGCGAGUAUGAGAAUGGAGAUUGUGACAGGCGAGGUCGUUGUUCAUAUUGGUCUCAGGUCUCAACCACCCCUUGGAUAACAAUGCAGUGAAGAAAACGGCAGCAUUUUGUGCGUUUGCUAGUCUAAGCAGUAUUUUGAAAAGAUAAAUCCAACGUCCCAAAUGUGUACAGUUACUUGACAUCUGUCCUCGGCUGACAAAAUCUUGAGAACAUUUGGACAAUUUGGUACUAGAUAGAAUAUUUUGAUUUGUUUUUAUAUUCAGUAGAUGAGUUGAUUGCAGCCUAUCAAAUGAUUCAUGUUUUUAGUUUUGUGUUCGUGUGCUUCGAUAUGAUUAGAGCUAUGAAGGGCUUUUGUAUUCAAAAAAGAAAAGACAGUUAAAAUUGAUUGAUUUUUGGGGGUAUUUUUUAAAUUCCAGAUUUGUUAGAUGUUGUUGAAGGAAAAACUGAAUCAAAGCUGUUUGAAAUUGUGGUUAACAGCAUGUUUUUGGAAAGCGCUUGAAAACUAACACUAAAAGAUCCUGCUCAUCAUUUUCUGUGGAAUAUAGAGGUUGAAAUCUUGGGAAUUUCUGUAAGUUACAGGAAGCUAUUUUGUCCCAAAGCUCUUCAUAUUUGUAUUUGAUAUCUUAUGCAUGUAUAAUGUCUGAUUUUUAUCUUGCUUUUGUGGGAAUAUUUCACAAUCUGAUAAUCUUUUUUUGUUUUUGGAGUGAACGACUGACAGGUCAGAACUUUCCACAUACUAUGCGAUGUACUCCUUUGCAAGUCUACUAUUGUGUAAAUACAGCUAUGUACCUAUUGUACAUAACAAGCUUUGUACAUGAAUCACUUAUAAUCGGUUUUUAAAAAUUAAAGUCAAAGUCUCGUGUCCACUUCUGUUCCUCUUUCUGGUCAGACUGCAUGCUUUCCUUGGACCGGAUUGGUGAGUACGUGGCCACACAGCUGUGCGGACUGCCCUGCUCCCAACUCUGUGUGGCCUCCAAUGAAAUCUCUCUUCUUAUUAUUGUGAUUGGUUCUAAUGUAAUGUACUAGCUAGGCUUUUACAGAAAAGUUUGGGGCUGGGGGGAGUGGUUGCUUCUUAAUUUUCAGAAUGUCAAGAGUUGUUAAAAAGUAGCUCUGAAAUGGGUCAGGAUUACCAGGGUGGGUGAGUGAGAAUGUCUUUCAACUUUCAUUCUCAUCAUGGUUAAUUGCAAUGUUGUCCGCGUCAAAACUAAAAAAAAAAUGUCUUGGGUUUUAACAAGAAUUUUCAAAGGCUGUUUUUUUUUGGUCCAGCAGAGAGUCCAGCAUCAUCCUCUCCACAUUUUUGAUACACAGUGCAGUCAAAAUUGCUUCAUUCAGCUUAGCUGUAACAUCAGCUGUUUGUCUCUGUCAAUUUUUACUGGACAACAGAAAGUCAGUGAGUUGCAUCAGAACAUUAAUGGAAUGACAGAAGAUUUUGCUGGACUUUCGAGAUUGCUACGAGGACAGAAAUAAUUAAACGUACUGGUCUUCUACGCAAAAAUGCUCUAUGUAGGAUGAGAGUAAAAGCCUGGCUCCUUUUGUGUAGCUAUUAUCUUCUUAGCCUGUAUGAAGGGCUUUGUUAGAAAAUUUUCUAUGAAAUAGCUGAAGAUUCAGCGGAAUUAUCUUGAGAAUUGCAUGAAUGUCAAGUUAGAAAGAAGAUUCAAGGUUUUGUGUGCCGGCUUCGUGUGACUUUUUAGGGAGUUUUCAUCAGACAAAGAUAUUGCUCUUGUAUUGUCUUUGCAGUGAUAACCAGUAAAGGCAACAGUAUGCUGGAUGUUUUCUCAAAUGCUUCAAUUGUACUUGAUUUAAGGAAUAAUGCUUACCACUUCUCUAAUAUUUGAAAUACAUGCGACUAUAGCAAAAACGUGUAACCUUGGUUUGUUUUUCUGUCCUCAUCUGGCUAUCUUUCCAUUCUGUUGCAAGUCCUGUGAGAUUUCACAUCUAUGCAGAUUGGUCAAUCUUGUUUUUGUUUUUUUUGGUUUUUGUUUUUGUAUUAAUCAUAUGAUAAAAAUCACCAGUCCAGUCAUGAUUAUGAUUAAAAACCACAGUGUCCAUGGGUUCACCUCUCGUCUCCUACAGUUUUUAGCACUUGUGGAAUGAAUGGACAUAAUGGAAUAAACAUUAUGAUGCAGGA